rnacentral:rRNA from 1 species
CCUACGGGUGGCAGCAGUGAGGAAUAUUGGUCAAUGGACGAGAGUCUGAACCAGCCAAGUAGCGUGAAGGAUGACUGCCCUGUGUGUUGUAAACUUCUUUUAUAAGGGAAUAAAAUGUUCCACGUGUGGGAUGUUGUAUGUACCAUAUGAAUAAGGAUCGGCUAACUCCGUGCCAGCAGCCGCGGUAAUACGGAGGAUCCGAGCGUUAUCCGGAUUUAUUGGGUUUAAAGGGAGCGUAGGUGGAUUGUUAAGUCAGUUGUUAAAGUUUGCGGCUCAACCGUAAAAUUGCAGUUGAAACUGGCAGUCUUGAGUUCAGGAGAGGUGGGCGGAAUGCGUGGUGUAGCGGUGAAAUCCUUAGAUAUCGCGCAGAACUCCGAUUGCGAAGGCAGCUCACUGGACUGCAACUGACACUGAGGCACGAAAGUGUGGGUAUCGAACAGGAUUAGAUACCCUUGUAGUC